AUGUGUCCCCGGAGCAACUCGGCCUUGGUGCCGCCGGUGCCGAAGCCGCAGCAGAAGAAGUGGCGGCAGGAAGAGGAGUCAGGAGGCGGUUGCAGGGGAUCUCGGGCCUCCCGGCGUGCGUUGACGAAGAGCGAGGAGGUGCGGAGGUACAGCGCGGUGGAGCGUCGUGAGCGCAUCGAGAGAUACCGGAGCAAGCGCAAGCGCCGCAACUUCCAAAAGAAGAUCACCUACGCUUGCCGGAAGGCGCUCGCGGAUAGACGGCGGAGGAUCAAGGGGCGGUUCGCACACGCCGGAGAGGAAGAACAAAAGGCGUGCCUUGCAGAAACGACAGACCAAGGUUCAAGCAGCAUUAGCGGAAGUGCGGUGCCGGAGUGGUGGCCAGCAAUGGAGGAGGCGCUGGCCAGGAAGGAGGAAGUGGAUGGCAUCACUCGCUGGGACCAUGAGAUGCUCGUCUCAUUCCUCGGCCUAAACCUCUGCUGCGCUAGUGACCCUUCCAACCAUCCAUCCACCUGA
rnacentral:rRNA from 1 species